rnacentral:lncRNA from 1 species
AAAAAAGUAUUUCUUCAUAUAAUUCCAGACAGCAAAGGAGUCUCCAUAUUCUAUUCCUUAUUCCAUUUCUCAAAGUAUAAAUGCUUAAUUUUUUAAGCACACACACACAAAUAAUUAUUGCUGUUUUUGUCUUCACUGAAAUAUUUGUCAAGCUAUAGUCCAAGAAGCUAUGAAGGUCACCAGAUAUCUUUCAGGGGGUCCAUAAAGUCUUAAUUUUCAUCCAGACCACCUUCAGCCCACUUCUACUGACCACAAGCUUUUGGAUCCUGCCCUGGGUCUCUGAGCACAGCAGAAUACAGGAGAAUCCCUUUCUUCUGGAGACAUGAUGCCUUAUCUUCCCUCCCAAAGGACCAUCUCUGCUUCAAUUCCACUGCCAGCCACAUCCUUGCUACCACCCUCUUACUACUUCCUAUUCCAGCCAAACUGUAUUAGUUUUUAAUUUAUUUCACUCAGUUAUUCUUAUUACAGUUUAAAUAUAGAAAAUACAAAAUAUGGAUAUUUAUUUUAUUUCUUAUUAUACAAGCAUAUCCAUGUUAUCUUUGAUAUUGCUACUUGGUCCACACAGGUGGAUAAGGUACCAUAUUUACCAUCUGACCCUUUAUAGAAAAAGUUAGCUGACCCCUCGUCUAAACUAUGAAGACAGAAACAUCUGUUUUUUUCCUUAUUGUAGUCCCACAACAGGUGUAAAUGUGUCCUAAAUGAAUAUCAUUAAGUGAAUAAAUGAUGGAAAAAUUGU